CUCUGUGUGCGUUCUUCAGAGAAGGUCCAAAAGUAUUGAUUAUCUUUGCCAUUUAUAGGCAUGCAGUGAUCUUGAAUAGCCCAUUGGCUCCUUAUUGGACCUGCGUUUAUUUCCUCCGACAGGCGCACACGUGCUUGUAAGUGGAGCCCUCCUGUCCCGGCCAAUCACAGCUGCUUGGGUGAAAUUCUGGAGGGUGUCAGUCAGACCAAUAAAACCACGUGCUGUGCCGAAGACUGUGUACAUACUUUCCCUGUGUAAUGGAAUACUGUGCAAAUGUCAGAGCGGAGGAAUUUGCAAUGCAUUGACUUGUCGAAUAGCUUGGAUACAUUGA
ensembl:lncRNA